GGGACCGUAGGAUAGCUAGGUAGACUGCCAGGCUCGGGCCCUGGUGGCCCAGGUUCAAAUCCUGGCGGUCCCA
rnacentral:tRNA from 1 species